CAUAAGCAAGCUUCGCUGCUUUAAUCCACUAAAUGUUGCGCACGAUCUUCACAAAUGUCGUCGUCAACUGUGAAUUUUGUAAAAACAUGAAAGGCAGGCAAGGUUAGUAAGAAGGUAGUGUUAACCCCCAUGGUAAGUUGUGCAAGUAAUUUCUAGAAGUUACCAUGGAAACAUAACCAGCCUUUGAAGAUUGUCAUAGCGACUGGUAACCAUACACCCCGCCGUGUGUUGUCACUUUGCUUCCUCUUUAUCACAGACUUUAGCUGAUACAAGUUAUCGUUGGAAAUCAAUAACGUAAAUAUAUAAACGUCAGUGGGACAUGGUGAGCUAGGCCUAGCUGGCCCCGAGAAAUAAGAUACUGGCAAGAAAAGACUUGCAGUUCAUCUGUAUCAUCCGUGGAAACCUCUUGGAAAAACGGCUUUCUAGAAAAAAACACGACUUAGUCCGGAAGGAUUGCAAUGUCAGUGGACACAAACAAUGGGCACCAUGGACUGCGGGUUCUUUCCUAUAAUGGGCGAGAGGGAGCGAGGUCUCCUAUCAAGCCCUUAGUCAACUCCUAUUUGUUU